GCUUGUCUCAAAGAUUAAGCCAUGCAUGUCUAAGUAUAAGCAUCUUAUACGGCGAAACUGCAGAUGGCUCAUUAAAUCAGUUAUAGUUUAUUUGAUGAUACCUUACUACAUGGAUACCCGUAGUAAUUCUAGAGCUAAUACAUGCGCAAACGGGACUCCGCAAGGGGCCCAGUAUUUAUUAGAUAAAAAACCAACACCUUUACCGGUGAAUCAUAAUAACUUUUCGAAUCGCCGCUUCGGCAGCGAUAGAUCUUGCAAAUUUCUGCCCUAUCAGCUUUCGACGGUAGUGUAGUGGACUACCGUGGCGUUAACGGGUGACGGGGAAUUAGGGUUCGGUUCCGGAGAGGGAGCCUGAGAAAUGGCUACCACAUCCAAGGAAGGCAGCAGG
rnacentral:rRNA from 1 species